AUUGAACGCUGGCGGCAUGCCUUACACAUGCAAGUCGAACGGCAGCACGGGUGCUUGCCCCUGGUGGCGAGUGGCGCACGGGUGAGUAAUACAUCGGAACAUGUCCUGUAGUGGGGGAUAGCCCGGCGAAAGCCGGAUUAAUACCGCAUACGAUCUACGGAUGAAAGCGGGGGCCCUUCGGGCCUCGCGCUAUAGGGUUGGCCGAUGGCUGAUUAGCUAGUUGGUGGGGUAAAGGCCUACCAAGGCGACGAUCAGUAGCUGGUCUGAGAGGACGACCAGCCACACUGGGACUGAGACACGGCCCAGACUCCUACGGGAGGCAGCAGUGGGGAAUUUUGGACAAUGGGCGAAAGCCUGAUCCAGCAAUGCCGCGUGUGUGAAGAAGGCCUUCGGGUUGUAAAGCACUUUUGUCCGGAAAGAAAUCCUUGGCCCUAAUACGGUCGGGGGAUGACGGUACCGGAAGAAUAAGCACCGGCUAACUACGUG
rnacentral:rRNA from 1 species